AUUGAACGCUGGCGGCAGGCCUAACACAUGCAAGUCGAACGAGCGGCGGACGGGUGAGAAAUGUAUGGGGCACUGCCCGAAAGAGGGGGAUAACUACUGGAAACGGUGGCUAAUUCCGCAUACUAUCGGAUCAACCCAUAAGGGAUUCGCGAGUGGGUGGGGUAAAGGCUCACCUAGGCGACGAUCUCGAGCUGGUCUGAGAGGAUGAUCAGCCACACUGGAACUUGGACACGGCCCAGACGCCUACGAGAGGCAGCAGUGGGGAAUAUUGCACAAGGGGCGCAAGCCUGAUGAAGCCAUGCCGCGGGUAUGAUGAAUGCCGUAGGUUUUUAAAGUGCUUUCAGCGGGGAAGCGUUACCCGCAGAUGAAGCACCGGCUAACUCCGUGCCAGCAGCCGCGGUAAUUC
rnacentral:rRNA from 1 species